rnacentral:lncRNA from 1 species
UGAAGAGUUAAAUGCUAAAAAUGAAAUAGCGUGUUAAUAGGAUGCAGAGUGGGAGUAGAGGUAGAUGUGUUAUUCCUCUGCCUGGGUGAGCUGGGGCUGCCCCGAGAGGCCAUUGCAGCCCCAGGAAGCAGAACUCACUUGGAACACAGAAGAAGGUGGGGUGUUCUCAGAAACACGAAUGGUCCAGGACCCCACUCCAUCCUUUCUUACUCAUGCUGGUACAGGGAAGUACCAGCCACCAGCUUCUGCUGAAAUGAGGCAUCGCAGGCAGAGGAGGGAGGAAGCCGUGGGAAGUUUGCCGGAAAAGCAGAACCGGUUCCUAGAAAGGCUCUAACGAACUUGAUGGAAGGUGAAUGAAUACCUGCACCACUCUAUUUUGGAGUCAUUUACCAAAUGCCACUACUGUCAAGAAACAGGCCAUCACAUCCUUCCUCUGCAUUCACGAAUAUCACCCUUCAGUAUCUUAAGACUUGCUAUUUGUCAUGAAACUCAUAUGUAAAUUCCUCUAUGGUUAUAUUAAGUAUAUAUUUGAUUUUUGAAUUAAAAAAAUGAUCAAGGGCAUAUAUAGAUCAUCUUUGUCAGCACAUAGGAUUAAAGUUACUCAGCUUUUAUGAAGAGGCCCUGCAACAAACAUGGCAUGGAUUUCUGCAUAUGUAUCCAGCCAUUACUAAUUUCUGUGUCAAAGUGUUUAAAACUGUUAUAAAUGAUUAGAUGAUUCAGUGUAGAGUUCAGUUAAAAUUGCAGAACUAGAGGGGAGAGAUGGGAAGUGCCACACAAGGGUUAAGUCCCUCACCGCAAACACAGCCAUGUAGCAGACAUCAGAGUGACCCAGGCGGCUGGAGCACUUGGCUGGUCCACCACCCAGAGCUGGGAAGCUGUUUUCCUUGAGGACUCUAUACUCGGGAGAGAAGAAGACGUUAACUCUGUGUGUGUCUCUGAGACGACUUCAAGGGAUGUUUAGUGGGGAAAGAAUUUCCAGAGUAUGUUUUUUUUUCAUCUCAUCUGAAAGACACAGUGGUUUUCAACUAGCUUGGUGCUGUUACGACAGUCAUUUCACCUGACCUCUUUUUUAAACAGGCCUAAAACAAGCCACUCUGCCAUCUAAGCAGAACUAAUGCUGUUACAAGAGCAUGCAAAUUGUAAUUAAAAAAAAAAAAUCCAUAAGCCAGCAGUUUCUUUUGACCACAGUGGCUUUUUCCCUCCUGCUAGUUCUGCUGAAACAGCAGCGCUGCUGUGCACUAUGAGACUCCAGCUCUGUGCUCCAAUUUGUUGUUCCUCUGAUGAGAACUGCAUGUGAGGAUGCUUGGUUUUGUGUGUGAAGGGCCACACAUGCAGCAGGAUUUCAAGUCUCUGAGGACAGGGGCCCCUCCCUCCUUUACAUCACUUUUCGUUUAUAGGAUCCCGCCCCGGGGCUGUCAUGAGGGCUGUGUUAUCGCCUGUUGAGUGGAUGUGUGGUUGAACAAAUGAGGGACUGAACAGAGAGCUCCAGUCUCCUGUGUUCUAAACCGAACAGUGCAAACUGGUCGGGAUCCGUUUCAAUCAAAGAGCAGGAUCUGUGAGAUGCAGAAAUAAAAAGAUGAGGAUACGAUUCCA